GGGAAGGGGCGGUCCAGCCCCCCCCCAAAAAAAAAAAAGUUUCCCCUAUAUUAAGGGCGACGCUGUCGACCAAAAAUACAGAAGAACUUGAAACGUUAUCGACGAUCAGUUCACGACGCCAAAGAUGGAAAUGACAAACUGGAGGUAUGUUAAAUUUCUUUCGCCAUACUUUAAAAUUGUUUGAAUUGUCGCUAUUGUGAAAACAUUUGCGAUUACUUUUGACCAAGAAUUUUCCACGGUGUCAAGCCCGAGUAAGCCCCGUGAAGCAGAGGAUUGGAAUAGCGAUAAGGACGCCGACCUGUUAAGCACGCCGACGGUUAUUUUCAGAGAUAAUCGUGAAGGGACUGUCCACGGACAACAUAAGCGGAAAAGAACGGAUAGUUUUAACGACACUGCCGAUGAUGAAUUGUUGAUCGCUGCGGCUGAAAAAAUUGAAGCGGGUCUAGCGACGGCAGAAACUUCAACCGGCGGCGCACAGAGCGAACCUGAAGAACAGUUGGAAUCUACGCCGCCGGGUACUCCUACUACAGGGGUUGUGACGCCGGACCAAGGGUUCCCAGCAAGCGGUGAUCCAGCGACCACAUCCCGGGCCUUAUCGGGACCCCUGCAGAGGACGCAAGAUUGGGAUAUUGACCAAUUAACACCUUGGCAGUGGCCGGUUGCGAGCUCCCUGGACGGCGCUGUAUCCCGGGCCGAGAGGCUGAAGGGGCUCAAGGUAGCUUUUUUCCUUUUUCAGGAUCAAAUGUGUGAUUUUUUGGCGGAUUUGUCUGAUCAGAUAUAAAGAAUAAGCACAGACAUGGCAGAAAACUGGCGGCAUUGGAGUUUUGACGGGGGUAGAAGCAUGCAUAUAAAUGAUGACGAUGGUGAAACGCCGCUGAACCCCGAUCUGCUUCGGCUGAUUGAUGAACUGAAUGACGGACCACCGGCUGAAAUUAACCCCUACAUGCUCGCCUUAAUAAAUGAUUUAAAUGAGAAUGGUGCUCAUGAAGCUGUUGAGGAUAUGGACUAUGUUAAUAUGGGUGACGCUAUAGACGAUGUAGACGGGUGGCUACCAAAUGCUGAUGUGUCUAUGAAUGUGGAAAUGGCUGACGACCACGCGGAUGACAGCGGACCGGACAACGAUGUGCAAAUGCUUGACGCUGAUGACGAAUCGGCCAUGUACGCUGAACUGCAUCAGAUGAUUGCUGAACUGAAUGGUGAGCAACCGGGUGAAUU